rnacentral:rRNA from 1 species
UACAGAGGAUGCAAGCGUUAUCCGGAAUGAUUGGGCGUAAAGCGUCUGUAGGUUGCUUUUUAAGUCCUCCGUCAAAUCCCAGGGCUCAACUCUGGACAGGCGGUGGAAACUACCAAGCUGGAGUACGGUAGGGGCAGAGGGAAUUUCCGGUGGAGCGGUGAAAUGCGUAGAGAUCGGAAAGAACACCAAUGGCGAAGGCAGGUCACUGGGCCGCAACUGACGCUGAGGAGCGAAAGCAUGGGGAGCGAACAGG